GCUACACAUGCAGUCGAGGGGUAGAAGGAGCUUGCUCCUUUGAGACCGGCGCACGGGUGCGUAACGCGUAUGCAAUCUACCUUGUACAGGGGAAUAGCCCAGAGAAAUUUGGAUUAAUGCCCCAUAGUAUAUAACCUUCGCAUGUUGGUUAUAUUAAAGUUCCAACGGUACAAGAUGAGCAUGCGUCCCAUUAGUUAGUUGGUAAGGUAACGGCUUACCAAGACGAUGAUGGGUAGGGGUCCUGAGAGGGAGAUCCCCCACACUGGUACUGAGACACGGACCAGACUCCUACGGGAGGCAGCAGUGAGGAAUAUUGGUCAAUGGUCGCAAGACUGAACCAGCCAUGCCGCGUGCAGGAAGACGGUCCUAUGGAUUGUAAACUGCUUUUAUACAGGAAGAAACCCUCCCACGUGUGGGAGCUUGACGGUACUGUAGGAAUAAGGAUCGGCUAACUCCGUGCCAGCAGCCGCGGUAAUACGGAGGAUCCAAGCGUUAUCCGGAAUCAUUGGGUUUAAAGGGUCCGUAGGCGGUCUUAUAAGUCAGUGGUGAAAGCCCAUCGCUCAACGAUGGAACUGCCAUUGAUACUGUAAGACUUGAAUGCUUAGGAAGUAACUAGAAUAUGUAGUGUAGCGGUGAAAUGCUUAGAGAUUACAUGGAAUACCAAUUGCGAAGGCAGGUUACUACUAAUGGAUUGACGCUGAUGGACGAAAGCGUGGGUAGCGAACAGGAUUAGAUACCCUGGUAGUCCACGCCGUAAACGAUGGAUACUAGCUGUUGGGAGCAAUCUCAGUGGCUAAGCGAAAGUGAUAAGUAUCCCACCUGGGGAGUACGUUCGCAAGAAUGAAACUCAAAGGAAUUGACGGGGGCCCGCACAAGCGGUGGAGCAUGUGGUUUAAUUCGAUGAUACGCGAGGACCUUACCAGGCUAAAUGUAGAUUGACC
rnacentral:rRNA from 1 species